GGGGAAUAUUGGACAAUGGGCGAAAGCCUGAUCCAGCCAUGCCGCGUGUGUGAAGAAGGUCUUCGGAUUGUAAAGCACUUUAAGUUGGGCGGAAGGGUUGUAGAUUAAUACUCUGCAAUUUUGACGUUACCGACAGAAUAAGCACCGGCUAACUUCGUGCCAGCAGCCGCGGUAAUACGAAGGGUGCAAGCGUUAAUCGGAAUUACUGGGCGUAAAGCGCGCGUAGGUGGUUCGUUAAGUUGGAUGUGAAAGCCCCGGGCUCAACCUGGGAACUGCAUCCAAAACUGGCGAGCUAGAGUACGGUAGAGGGUGGUGGAAUUCCCGGUGUAGCAGUGAAAUGCGUAGAGAUCGGGAGGAACAUCAGUGGCGAAGGCGACUGCCUGGGCCAACACUGACACUGAGGCACGAAAGCGUGGGGAGCAAACA
rnacentral:rRNA from 1 species